rnacentral:rRNA from 1 species
GACGAACGCUGGCGGCGUGCUUAACACAUGCAAGUCGAACGGAAAGGCCCUGCUUUUGUGGGUUGCUCGAGUGGCGAACGGGUGAGUAACACGUGAGUAACCUGCCCUUGACUUUGGGAUAACUUCAGGAAACUGGGGCUAAUACCGGAUAGGAGCUCCUGCUGCAUGGUGGGGGUUGGAAAGUUUCGGCGGUUGGGGAUGGACUCGCGGCUUAUCAGCUUGUUGGUGGGGUAGUGGCUUACCAAGGCUUUGACGGGUAGCCGGCCUGAGAGGGUGACCGGCCACAUAGGGACUGAGAUGCGACCCGGACUCAUACGGGAGGAAGCAGUGGGAAAUAUUGCACAAUGGGCGGAAGCCGGAUGCAGCAACGCCGCGUGCUGGAUGACGGCCUUCGGGUUGGAAACCGCUUUAGCCUGUGACGAAGCGUGAGUGACGGUAAUGGGUAAAGAAGCACCGGCUAACUACGUG